rnacentral:lncRNA from 1 species
AAUUUCCACAAUUCGGACAAUUUUGUCUGUCUAGUUUAAGCAGCAAUCCAAUCAAUUUUCUUUUUAGAAAUAUACAUAUAGACAUUGUAUUUUUUUUAAUGUGGAUAGUUAACAGCAUGAAUGCUAAAAAAAAUAAUUUGGUUGAACUGCUGGAAAUAUCAUCUAUUGUCCUUUCAGUUCUCUACGUAACAUACAAUAGGGACCGGAUGGGGGUGUUUACUGAAUAUAGAAUAAUAGGGGGAACAUGCAGAAUAAAGGGCUUAAAAAUAAAGAAUAGAGAAAAAUAGACCAAAAAGUAAAGAUAAGCAGGGGCGGAUCCAGCCAUUUUAAAAAGGGGGGUUCCAACUAUAUGCUCCAAUUCAAAUGCAUUGAUCGGCCAAAAAAAGGGGGGUUCCAACCCCGGGAACCCCCCUCCUGGAUCCGCCACUGAUAAGAGAAUAAUGUGGUGUUUAAAUAUAAAGAAAAGACCCCUCAACCAGACCCUAAUACAUGUACAAGUGGUUUUUCUAACUAAACAUCAUAAGUUCAUAAUCCAUGUAAUAGAUAUCUGUUUGGUUUAGCCUUGAACACAGAUCUUUAAAUUUUGCAUUCAAUUAGUUGAGCAAUUUAAAAAAAUUAGUAGAACUUUUAUAAACAGGAAUAAGAAGGUCUUUUUACAAGGAAAAAUUUUAAAUGAAAUUUAAUUUAUAGGUAGUCUAUGAAAUGAAAUUUACCUGUCAUAAUAUUAUGUAAGAAUUUACUGAUGAAGUAUCUUGUCUUUAAAUUUGUUGUACAUGCUUUUCUUAAGUCAGAGAAUUAAGGGGAAAUCUGUACUUUAACAUUCUAAUGAUCAUUAAAAGCUAUGAGAUAAAUUAUUGCUUUGCCUCAAGAAGAUAAAAUUUUUAUAUCUAAAUCAUCCAAUCAUUAUAAAAGAAAUAAAACUCCAGAAGGCAGUGUUGAAGGUCUGAAUGCUAUGCAAUAUAAAUGUGAUAUAUGUUGUAAUUUUAUGACAUUUUUUAUGCUUUUGUGGCUGUUUAUGAAUAUUUAUGUAAAUAAUGUCUAUUACAGUGUUUUAUUUAGAAUGUAAAUAUGUACAUAUGAAAAAUGGCAAUAAAGUCAUUAUACGUCUACAUUAGUAAAGUGCUAACUCAUAUCUUAUGACCUUUAAAAGGUCCUUAUGACCUUCAAAAGGUCAAGUGCCACUUUUCUUUAUUUUUCUUUAUUUAUAUAUAUAUAUAUGCUUUUUCUUUUAAUGAAUAUAUUAGUGCAAAGGACCAUCUCAUAAUACAUAUUUUUCACAUUACUUGAAAUGAUGUUUUGUUUGGAGAUAAAGCAAAUAAUAAUAAUACCUAAUUUAAAAUAAAAAUUCUUCUAGCUUAAAAUUUUCACUAUUUUAUUUGAACGAGGUCAGUCUGUGGUAGCUUGUACAUUAAAGAUCAAUUCAUUUAAUAAUAUUUUUUUUUGUAUUUUUAAAUGUUCCCUAAGACCUAUUUUGUUUAGCGUACAUUUGUAUGUAUUAUUUCAUGUUUCAUCAGUUGUAUGGUGUGUGUUUAUGUCUUAAGUGAUGUUUUGUUGAAUAAUAUCAUCACAUCUACAAAAUCUGUUUAGGGAAUUGGUAUUCACAGAGUAUAUCAUUACAUCUAAAAAAAUCUGUUUAGAGAAUUGGUAUUCACAGGGUAUCUGUUUUUCAACAAAAUGAGAAAAAUUACUUAUGAUAUUAUAGAGGAGGUAAAAAAAAAGUGGAAAGUGGAAAAAAUUUAUAAAAAAAAGCAGGAUUAAGGAAAUUAACACCUUUAUGUCACCACCUCAUUAUACAUGUAAAUUAGCUUAUGAUCAACAAGCAUUGCAUAUACUUACACUAUAAAAGUGUUGAUCUAUUUUACUACAAUGUAUUUAGCAAUAUUCUGUAAUGUCUCCAUGAAUAUACAUAGUAUUAACUUUGUUUGCAUUCAUAUGUGGAUUAAAUUUCAUCUUUAUCAUAAUUUAGGUAAGGGCUAAAAAUUAAAAUGGGUAUGGGAGGGUAUGUAGGCAAUAGAAAAUAACUAACAUACCCUCUGUGUUAUUUAGCUUACAUCCAAUGGUCAAACAAUCAUAAAGGAUCCAUGUUCAAAAAUGAAACUACCAAUUCCUACUUAUGUGUUUGAAUAUCCCUCUGUUAUCAUUGGCCUCUCUUUUUCCUACCCUCAACAUUCAUUUUUAUGGAAUAGCCCCUUAAAGUCCAUAUAGCCCUUAAAGUCCAUUUAAUUCACUGCCACUUUUUAUUUAAAAAAAUUAUUGGACCUUUCUGUUUUCAUUUCAUAGGCAAAGAGUUCUGAUAGAUAUUCAAGUCAUCUUUUACGCUAGACUUUUUCUGUAACAUUUGCACAUUAUCCUGCUCAUUAAAGUGACAUUGGGAAUAAUAAUUGAAUCAGGUUUAAAAAAAACUACAUUCCAUUACCUUAUAGAGUGUAAAAUUAAUAGAUGUUAAGUACAUUUUUUCAGGUAGUUUUUUAUAAGAGACACAAAUUUUAGGGUGAAUUGUGAGGUUUAUAAAGUUGAUGAAAUAUAUGUUUUAUGAAUAUGCAUUGAAUGUUCUAUGCCUUCCAUGAUCUGUAUUGUUUUGAUAUUGUACUGUAAUUCUGUAUCAUUCUCCCACUCUAGGAGUGGGGCUAUAUAACAUUCACCAUGUCUGUACGUCUGUCAUUCCAUUCAUUAAACAAAUACUUGUAUCAUAUUUUUCUUAAGUUUUAAUGAACAUAAUGACUAGAUAAAUAAUCAGAUGCUUGACAGUGACUAAUUGUAACUUGUACUUGAUUUUCAGAUAUGUCAUACACCUAUUUCUUGUUAUUGAUACCUUAAAUAAUUCAAUGUGUUGAAUAAACUUUUUAUUUUUCUUUCAUACAUUUCUCUAGUAAAACUGAAAAGAUGUUUUCAUAUUUCAUUAGCAUCUUAACAUAAAUGUGUGCAAGCUUUACAGAUAUGUAAAACAUCUACAUAUUAUUUUAUCAUACUUUGAAUUACGAGUGGGAUAUAUCAGAAAGAAGAUGUGGUAUGAUUGCCAAUGAGACAAUGAGAGUGGGAGUAUGGUUAGCAUGACAACGAUUCUUGUUUUGUGAUAAUGGUAUACUGUUACAUUUGUCUUUCAUUAAUGUUUUAAUGUCUACAUGUAUAUAAUAUUGAUAUAAUAAACAGAUGUCGGCCAUUAUUGUUUAGAAUUAGAUGGAUGGGAAGUAAAUACACAGAAUGAUAUUAACCUAAACGUAGACGUUUGAUAAAUAUGUAAAUAAAUAUUUUGUUUCAGAUUUCUACAAAAAAUGUAUUAUCUUAUUCAUGUUUUAAUAUUUAUUGCAAAAUAAAUGUGUAGAAAGCUGGUAUCAAUCAACAAAAUUUUGAUCUGGGUUAUUUCCCUUAGGUAAAAAAAAUGUCUUCUCUUAAAGCUUAAAACAGUCUUGAUCAUCACCAAAGGAAAAAUUCUCUCUCAGUUUAUGUGAUAAUCACAAUAAGCAUUUUGCAGAACAUUAUGUUUUAAGAAAUACAAUAAAAAUUCAAAAUACAAUUUAAAAAUAGUUUACUCACUAGACAUUGGAAAUAAAGGAUAUAAAUCUUCCUGUCAUAUUCACUUCUAUGGUGCAGGCUAAUAUUGUAGUAGAUUAUUAUCCAAUACCAAUCUAGCAAAGGGGCAUUUUUUGUCCUUUAAAAAAAGUUAUAUCCCUUUAGUUAUGACAAAGGAAGAUAAUUUUCAAUUGUAUCCUACAUGUGAAAAUUGAAGGAUUUUUUUACAUGUGAAUGGCAUUAUUAUUGUUGAAUGAAUUGUGAUCAAAGUUAUAACAUUUUAUGAAUAUAUUAUUUAUUGAUUUUAUCAAUAAACUCUUCCACAUAC